rnacentral:rRNA from 1 species
UACAGAGGUCCCAAGCGUUGUUCGGAUUCACUGGGCGUAAAGGGUGCGUAGGCGGUCGGGUAAGUCUGACGUGAAAUCUUCAAGCUCAACUUGGAAACUGCGUCGGAUACUAUUCGGCUAGAGGAAUGGAGGGGAGACUGGAAUACUUGGUGUAGCAGUGAAAUGCGUAGAUAUCAAGUGGAACACCAGUGGCGAAGGCGAGUCUCUGGACAUUUCCUGACGCUGAGGCACGAAAGCCAGGGGAGCAAAACGGG